rnacentral:rRNA from 1 species
CCUACGGGUGGCUGCAGUGGGGAAUAUUGGGCAAUGGGCGCAAGCCUGACCCAGCAACGCCGCGUGAAGGAAGAAGGCUUUCGGUUUGUAAACCUCUUUUCUCAGGGACGAAGCAAGUGACGGUACCUGAGGAAUAAGCCACCGCUAACUACGUGCCAGCAGCCGCGGUAAUACGUAGGUCGCAAGCGUUAUCCGGAUUUACUGGGUGUAAAGGGCGUGUAGGCGGGAAAGCAAGUCAGAUGUGAACACCAUGGGCUCAACCUGGGGACUGCAUUUGAAACUGUUUUGCUUGAGUACCGGAGAGGUAAGCGGAAUGCCUAGUGUAGCGGUGAAAUGCGUAGAUAUAAGGAAGAACACCAGUGGCGAAGGCGGAUGACUGGACGGCAACUGACGGUGAGGCGCGAAAGCGUGGGGAGUAAACAGGAUUAGAUACCCUAGUAGUC